rnacentral:rRNA from 1 species
CCUACGGGUGGCAGCAGUGAGGAAUAUUGGUCAAUGGGCGCGAGCCUGAACCAGCCAAGUAGCGUGAAGGAUGACUGCCCUACGGGUUGUAAACUUCUUUUAUAAAGGAAUAAAGUGAGGCACGUGUGCCUUUUUGUAUGUACUUUAUGAAUAAGGAUCGGCUAACUACGUGCCAGCAGCCGCGGUAAUACGGAGGUUCCGAGCGUUAUCCGGAUUUAUUUGGUUUAAAGGGAGCGUAGAGGGGUCGUUAAGUCAGUUGUGAAAGUUUGCGGCUCAACCGUAAAAUUGCAAUUGAUACUGGGAGUCUUGAGUACAGUAGAGGUAGGUGGAAUUCGUGGUGUAGCGGUGAAAUGCGUAGAUAUCACGAAGAACUCCGAUGGCGAAGGCAGCUUACUAAACUGCCACUGACACUGAGGCUCGAAAGUGUGGGUAUCAAACAGGAUUAGAUACCCCUGUAGUC